AAGUCGUAACAAGGUCUCCGUAGGUGAACCUGCGGAGGGAUCAUUACUGAGUGAGGGCCUUCGGGCUCGACCUCCAACCCUUUGUGAACACAACUUGUUGCUUCGGGGGCGACCUUGCCGUUUCGACGGCGAGCGCCCCCGGAGGCCUUCAAACACUGCAUCUUUGCGUCGGAGUUUAAGUAAAUUAAACAAAACUUUCAACAACGGAUCUCUUGGUUCUG
rnacentral:misc_RNA from 1 species